rnacentral:lncRNA from 1 species
GGAGCAGGUGGAUUAUCUAAUUAAGCAAGCUACUAGCGUGGAAAACCUUUGCAACAUGUAUGAAGGGUGGACACCAUGGAUUUGAGUUUGUGACAACAGCGAUUUGGAUGGGAUUUGAGAGCUGCAUUCUCAGAACAUCACAUGGUGCAAUGUGCAGCACAUUGCAUUUGCAUGCAAAUUCCAACUCCUGAAGUCAAUGGAGCCAAAAUCGAUUCGAGCUACACUGGGAAUAAGCAAAUGGUAUGUCAAAGUGCCAGUCAAACUUGUCUUGAAUCUCGCUGUGUCUGGUGAAUGAGCUGCAGCGCGUUGAUUGCCAGGUCAAUUUGGCACUUUGGUUUGGGCUCUGGCUUGGAGUAUAAUUUCUGUCCAGCCCUGCUUGAGACAUAUAGCUCCAAAAUACUUGAACUCGCAUCAAGAGACACCAUGUGGUGGGAGUGCUUUACACCUCUCCUCGCUCCUAGGGAACAGGUGGUCUCUCAGUUCAGAGUCUCACAGUGGGGAAGUUCUCGUCUGGUUUUUCUUCUUUUGAUGAUGAUGGCAAUACAAGGACUUGAAGAAGAAGAGCCAUUUAAUUUUCUAGCUCCAUCAGCUUUAUCAUUCUGUAGCCGGAGGAGCCUUCCAAGUUCUUGAUGGGUUUAUAGAGUUGGAAAGAUUGACAGCUUUGGACGCUCACACCACAUGCUGCGAAGGCUAAUCCGUGGGCUGGAGAGUGAUGGUCGGGGCAUUUUCAGUGGGAAUGCAGGCCAAAAGAAGGAAAACUGUUUCCGGGAAAAAUUCAUUGUAUCACACAGGAACGUUUGCUGCCCAUUAGGAGAUUUGUGGGGUUUAGGCUGGUCCAUACUUCCCUCCAACUUCAAGACAAUCUCUCUUGUUCAGUAAAACGGGUGAUAGCUGCAUGUCGAGCACUCAGUGACCGAGUUAUGAGCAACUGGAGUGUGUUACCUAUUUUGUAGUCGAACUAUGUUCUUUCUAAACUGUCGCCUUAUUGGAUGAACUUGUUCCCGCCUGUUGAAUCAUCUUAUCAGAUAUUUUGAAUAGAAAAUUAGCUUAAUACAAUCCGCAGUGAUGACAUAGGGUUGUUAAGAGAUUCUUAUCCUGCCGUCCUGCAAUUGUUGAUUGUGAUGCUAACACCUUCCUCUCGUGGGGUAUCCGGUGGUUGGAAAAGAGUAUCAAUCCACCAUCGAGAAAUGGAUCGAUUCUCUUAUUUUUUCAGAUUAUUUCACUCAUGCAUUUACUCUUCCUCUUGAUCCCAUAACAAUAGUUCGAAUUAAACAAAAUUGCCCAAAUUACUAAAAACUAAAACAAGAAAAUUGCCAUAUCUUUUCAAGCAUUCAUUUGGCUCUAUCACUUGAAAUAGCAACUAAAUUCAAUUCGAGUAUGAUGGCAUGUCUCACUUCUUGUUUAAUAAAUGAAAUCUAACACCCAUUUUUUCUUCUCUUUAUUUAUAUAAUUAGAUAACGAACAAGUAUUGAGGGAGUUUUAUAAAGUCCAGAACAAGACAGCAUUUCUCCAUGAGUUAUACGCAAUUGCAGAGACAAUAUUCUAUUUCCUAACCUCAACUAUUACAAGCCUAUAUAUAUAUAAAGCAGCAAAUAUGAUCUUAUAUUAAAAACAUAUAUAUUGCCUCAGACACUGGAAGACUUAUCCGGUAUUGACCGUCCAAAAAGCCGUACAUGGAUUUUUAACAAUCCAUCAGCAACAUAGACAAGACGAUACCAUUUGCUUGCCCUGGAUUUGCACUCUUUUCUCCCCACUUUGGAGCAACAAAAAGAAGAGGGAGAACAAGAAAAAAGAGUUGCAGAAAACCAAGUGAUGAUCUCUGAGAGCACACAGAUACAAAAUCAACCAUGUUCUCUCCAAAACCACCUGGUCAACUUCCCCUAUAAAACCCCCAACUUUCACAUCUCAACAUCAUCCAACCAACUCAAACAGCUUCCAAAUUUCUCAGUUACCGUCUCCCUCUGCUUCUGUCUGAGAGCCUAGUUCAACUCAGUGAACUGAAGUUUCUGAUAAUUCUGAAGUUCUAACCAUGUCUGGGGUUGUGGACAAGUGGACCAGGAAGUUACAGGAAAGGGGUCAAGCCAUAUUCUCAGCUGGCUCGGCGAACUCGGCCAGCGAAGCUGCCGGUCAAGCAGAGGCCGGGAGCUCGGGCUGGCUGUCUCCAGUGUUCAGCCGAGCCAAGCAAGUCAAGUCACCAAAUCUCCUCCGCUCCGAGGCCUCGGUGGGUAUGCUUGUUGAGUGUUUCAGCCCUUGAAAUCACAGACCAUACCCGGCUUGGCUCAGUCUAAGCUUUUGCUCCGUCUUGGUCUCUGGAUAUGCUUCCUUCCCAGGAGUUUGUAACAAGAAAUGUGCUUCUUUUUUUCAACUAAUGACGUUAACUGUUCUUGAGUUUUCUUAUUGUGUUUCCUGGAAAUUACAAGUAGAUUGAAUGUCCAUCAAAUGCGUAAAAAUAGUCCAACCCGUAGUAUUAACUACGUUUAGGCAUUGCCUUGGUUUCCACCUCCCCAUUCCAUUUUCGGCACACCGGAGGGUGUCCCUUUCGGCAUUUUGGGCCAUUUUGCAGACUCUUUAAUCCUGAUCUAAAUGAUUUCAGAAUUUUCAAAACAGUGAAUUCUAAAGAUAAGGUCAACCAUCUGAAUCGGUGGGUCAUUGCAAGUGCGCUUAUCCUAUCGCCCCUAGCUAGUCCCAAAUAGAAUGGGGUCCACUUUUCCUGUGGAUUGAGCAACGUCCUGUGGGUUGUCAGCAACGUCCUGUGGGCACAAGCAUCUGAUACAGUGGCUAUCAUUUUAGCAAGUUAAUUUGCAUAUACUUCGGUGAUCGGUGUAAUCAGAUCUCCUUCUCACCUGAAAAGACACAUGAAUUCGACCAAACACUCAAACUGGACGAAUAACAAACGAUCCAUGACCCAAAACCAUGGACUAAAUGUUGGAACUGGUGAAUUUCAGAAGGUGACGUAAAUUUUUCAAUUCCGUAGUAGCCAUCAGUCUGCAUCGUUGCCUUCCGAGCUAAAAAGGUAUCGCUAUAUUACGGAUCUCUAAACCCCUUGGAUGAACUCAACUGCUGUAUUGUCCUCGACCCAGGAUUGGAAUUUUCUCAAAGCUCCCAAGUCAAGAUUGCUUCGUCAAACAGUACCGAAAAAACUGAUCAAUAUCUGAACGCGGCUUCAUACAUGUGCUCCGACUUGGAAUUCACGAUCCAAUCACAUCUCUGCCCCAGGAUAAAACGAAGCCGUUGUUUUAGAAUAUUCUCGAGUUAGAUCCUUCACACCUUGUCCCUCAUGUUUUGACAUUAUUCAUGGCCUCCGAAGGACAUCAAUUAUUGUCCUCCCACACCAAACAGGACAUUCUUAUAGUCUUCUUCGACGAACCCAUCAUUCUCUCUCCUUUUAUUGAUGCCCAUGUGCUUCUCUUCUGAUCUCCAUGUCAGAAUUGGUAAAGAUCCAAACUUUCGAUCCCAUCAAGAACUUGUGCUGCUUUCGAUCAAGAAGUGUUCCUUCGAUCGCGCUCAAAACGUCUGCAUUGGUGGAGAUGUGGGAGAAUGAGCUAGUAAAACUGAGAGAGAAGGUCUGGUUCAGGAAGUUAGUCUUGCACAAAUCAAAGCAUGAAGGGGAAGUUGCCAAUGAAGGAGGCGAAGUCGAAGACAAGAAAGACAAGGUAGAAGGCAAAGGCGUCCAUAGAGAGACCACGUUAUCCGAGGACACGCUCUGUUUGAUUAUGGAUCGUUUUACACCCUGUUAACUUAUUGUGCAGAUGUUUUCUCGUGUAAGAAGUUUCAGUGAUAAUUUAUUAAGGAUAUGCAUGUGCGAUUUAUAUGUAUAGAAGUCCAGGGCAUGCGCCAAUCAACGCCCUUUGAAAAUGCAAACCGCAACUUUUGCUUGCCUAGUUCUCAUUUAGUGCGAUUGAGAAUCCACCUAUAACCACCACAACUUGAUAAAAUCAAACCACCUGACAGAUGAAGAAGAUAUGGUAAUCCCUGGAUUCUUUCAAGUGACGAGAAGCCUACCCUUUCACCCAUUACAGUUUAUAAGGCUCCAGAGUCGGAAUGUGAACCUGCAGUUACAUUUAAGUAUAAACCCUGUUUCUAUAAUCAAUAUGGAAAACGAUGUGGCCAGAAUAGUUCGUUCAUUUAUCCAUUCACAGAACAGUUCACAAUAAGAGACGCAUUUCAUUCUGCAUUCACAUGAGUACGUCUUCUGAAUGCAUCAUAAGAAGGAAUUAAAAAUCGAAGCUAUUUCACUUCAUAUGAUCCACCUAAUUGCCAGUAUAUAUAUUGACAAGAGUUUAUGGAGCCACGUCUUCUUCAUUAGGCAUAACCAGAUGGUCGCCAAUUGGGAGAGUGAAAAAGAAUAAAAUAAAAUAAAAACUAAGAGGUGCUUGCCUCCAAACUCAAAAAAGAUUCCUCAUCGAUGAAAGUGAUAUCUUCUUCGUCCCAAUUCAUAAUCUCCCUCGCAUAUUUAAGAGAUUUAUCCACACUAUCCUGCUCAAGUCCUGUAACUAGGGAAACAUACAGCUUGCGUUCAGUAAGCGAAUGGAAGAGCCAUUUGAACUUCACUGCAAUGUAGUGAGACGCAAGCUCUGCCAACAAAGGAGCCGGAUGAACAUAAGUCUCAAUAUUGCAGUUAGAGUCGAUCACUGGAUGGAAAUCACAAAACCAUUCACAUUGAGUUAAAGGAGACUGUUCAAUCUUUUCUUCGAGCAGAUCGAACUUGUUCAUAAUCAGAAGGAAGUCCUUUUCAUAUAAGGUCGGAUGAGUGACGACACUUUCAAAAAGUUGUUUGCUUGCCAUCAUCUUGUUUAUCAGUAAUCCUUUAUUAUCCUCAUAGAACUCAUCGUAGUCUGUCAACGAGAUGCAGAACAAGACGAUAUUAACAUCUUCGAAAGUCUCCAACCACUUGCAGUUUUUCCCUAGGCUUCUAGGAUGCACCCUGAUGAGUUGGUACCUACAGAUUCCAGCAAAAGCUAUAUCAGAUAUAGUUUACCCAAAUUAUGCAAACUCUGGCCAGCAUGAUCCUGCCCAGUCAAGAAAAUAGCUUGCUUAAUUUGCACAUCAUAUAUCAGCCUGGUUGACCAUACUUUUAUAGUUUGAUGAAUUUACGAGAAAUAGUAGUUGAUGGUGAUUUUCUAUCAAGUGCAUUUUGGUGUGACAUUUGCCUGAGGAGCAACAAUGAAGAAACACCAACUUCCAGAACAAAAAAAUACCACUUAAAUCACCCAAUUUCUCUGAUAACUAUUCUUUGGGGUAUAUUAAGAGAACAUGAAAUUAUCAUUUUGAGCUACUAAAGUUUUGGCUGUCGUCUCAGAUAGUAAACUAGUUAAACUGCAGGCUCAUUUGGUAGCUCAUUGAUUGCCAUGCCAGCUAGUCCUAGCACUUCAUCAAUUAAAUUUGGGAUGAAAAAUAGCUCAUUUACGAAAUUUCACUAAACCAUAUUAAAAUCUGUGGUUGACAAAAUCAACAAGCCAACAAGCAAUGUUUAGUGAAGAAGAAGAUUGUACCUCAUCAUGCUGUAGUGCUGAUCAAUGGAGUCUAUGUAUCCAUCUGCUUUUGCUGACGUGGGAAAUGAAAAUUCCAUGCUUGCAGGACCAUUAGAAGAGGUGAUUCCCUCUCGUAGAGAAUAUCCAUAUCAGAGGGCUCAUACUCUUCUUUUGAAAUCUCAACUGCCAAGUCAAGUAAAUUGCUUAAUUUAGUUUGCAAAACAUCAUAUAUCAACCUGGUUGACCAUACUUUGAUAGUUUGAUGAACUUACAAGAAAUAGUAGUUGCCAUGAUUUUCUAUAAGUGCAUUUUGAUGUGACAUUUGUCCGAGAAGCAACAUUGAAGAAGCGACUUCCAGAAUACAAAAAUGCCACUUAUAUUGCCCAAUUUGUCUGAUAAUAGUUCUUUGGGGUUAUAUUAAGAGAACACAGAAUUAUUGUUUUAAGCUACUAAACACGGAAUUAUUGUUUUAAGCUACUAAAGUUUUGGCUGUCAUCUCAGCUAGUAAACUAGUUUUUUUUUUUUUUUUUUUUUAGGUCGAAAGAUAGUAAACUAGUUAAACUGCAGACUCAUUUGCUAGCUUAUUAUUAGUUGCUAUACGGGCUAGUCCUAGCACUUCAUCGAUUAAAUUUGGAAUGAAAAAUAGCUGAUUUAGCAAAUUUCACUCAACCAUAUUCAAAUCUGUGGUUGACGAAAUCAACAAGCAUUGUGUAGUGAAGAAGAUUGUACCUCAUCUUGCUGUAGAGCUGAUCAAUAGAGUCUGGGUAUCCAUCUGAUUUUUCUGACGUGGAAAAUGAGAAUUCCAUGCUUGCGAGACCAUUAGAAGAGGUGAUUCCCUCUGCGUAGAGAAUAUCCAUAUCAGAGGGCUCAUACUCUUCUUUUGAAAUCUCAACAGCCUGAUAAGAAAGAAAGUCUAAGUUGGCCAGACAGAGCAGUCAAAUUUGGGACCAUAUUAGCACAGCAUACAAAGCUUGAAUCAAAUAUGUCCAGGCCCUUGGUAAAGUGCCUUUUUGUAAUAGUUAUCUAUAAAAAAUAACAUCUUUUGCAACGUAGGUGAAAUUGUGAUUUAUUAUCGACUCUGAAGUGAAGAGUACCAAAAAUGGUGAACCCACAAAUUAAGAAAGGUACAAGGACAGAAAAAGGAUCUGAUUUAAGGCUAGAAACUGCAAAUAAUCAGAACAGAGAUCAAGAUGGGCGACCUCACCCGCUCCAGAAAAUAUGUAGCUACUCUAGGGAGCUUUUCUAACUCAUUCCUUCGGUUGUAUGUGGCUUGAAUGGCUUCAUCCUUCCACAGUUCCUCAAUACGAGGUGAGUAUUCACGACUGGCAGAAAGAACGAUGGCUUCUAAAUUACCAGAUGCUAUUUCCUUGAGAAGCCAAUCCGAGAAUCCUUUAAGCUUUGAGUCUACGGAAUAGGUCAACUUAGUUUCCUUCGAAUACAUUAUCCCUGUCAAUUGAGUAGUAAUUAGUCCAGCAGAUCCAGACAAAGAAACACAUAUGAAAACUAGUAGAUUAAUUUCUGCUAUGACAUUUUAGAGCAUUUUUAACUUCCCAAAUGCCUCACAUCCCAUCGCUCAGUGAUCUAAAAGAACCCAAAGUAACUGUUCGAACUCCAGAGGAAGUAAUGCAUUUAAGAGAGAGGUUCAAAAGAUGCCGUCGAUCCUUAUGUUAUACCUGAAGAGUGGCAUCCAUCAAUCAUCAGACGUUUUCCCUUCUCCCUUGAGCUUCCUCUUUCAAACCGUUUGCACCCUACAAGGGAUAUGCCAAGAUCUGACUAUGACUAUUUCCAUCAUCACAGAGGAAUAUAUGAAGAGGCGAAGGCAGCUUUCUUCACAACAUACCCGAAGAACUGGGUUGGUCAAUUAACAGGCUUUUUCCCUUCCCCUUCAAGGUUUCCUCUUGAAAUCUCUCACAUCCUUCAAGCAGUAUGCCCAGAUAGCAGUACAGAUUGCUCUGGAUCAUUAACUUGAUUUUUUUACGCUCAUCUUCAGAAAAGGAGACACCAUACAGAAUCUUGGCCUGAAAUUAGAACAUAAUUGACUAAGAGUACACACAGCAUUACAUCCCUGAACUUAACACUGCUUCACUUGACAUCAAGAUUAACAAAGCUAUUCGGUAUACCUAGAAAAGCACAUAAUGGAGCAUGAAUCACUGCUUUUUCAAGAUAAAUCAGCGCUUAGAACUAUUCUAACUUAUCUAACCUGCUUGAAUAUAGUGCUUGUGCCAGAUUUAUCAAAGCCGACCAGAAGCAGUUUGUGAUAAAGAUCAUUCUGGCCACUGCUGCCUUUGGUCUUUUCUUCACCAGAUUUUGCAUUAUCCGCAGGAAUUGGCAAAGACAAGAUUGCGCAGACUAGCUUUGUCUUAGUCUGUAGAUGAAAACACCAAGCAUCGCCAGAAGUUCAAUAAAUAAAAGAAGAUAAAAAAUCACUAUAACAAAAAGUCCACAUCAUCACCAUAAUUUACCUUCUCCCAUAUGCGGCCUUUAGCAUUCUUCUGCCCCUCUUCCUGAUAGCAUCCAUCUGCACUCACCCAAAAAUGAGGUUUUCCUUCGCAUGGAAUUCCGGCUGACUGCAAAAAUUCAAGGACAAACAUUCAGUUGAUUAUCAUAGUAUGAAUUGCAUGACAAGCAGAGUGAAAUAAUGCCUAGAGAAUCACCUUGAGCAUCCAAACCUCUUCUUUUGUAAUUUCCCGGUUAUUAAUUAAUACGCCUGUGUUUCCGUUGCUAGCAGUUGGUUUAAUGUAACCCCCAACAUCUAAGUGGACACUGAUUAUUUGGCAUGGUUUCUGCCCCUCCUGCCAAAUUGACCAAGAUUCAACAUCAUCAACUUUUUUCAUAGCGUGACAGAAGAUGAUGUGCAAUGAUAAGUUAUAAGAGACGGAAGAAUCAAAACAAGCUUCUUAAGUAAGCUAAAUUUCAAACUCACCUUACCCCAAAACCCAGCCACUUUAUCAUACCAGUAGUGUCCCGGCCUUAGCUUUUUCGGAGGAUUUGGGCAGCCCCGCAGCAGAAGCAACUCUUUAUAAUCAAGACGCUUAUUAUUCACAUAAAGAAGGUUUGGAGGGAUUUCAUUUGCUGGGCACAAUACCUCAGAACUCAUUAUUUGCUUAAUUUCUGAUUCUGGCAAGAGCCACUUUAGCAUUCUAGAACAUUUCCCCAGGUUACUUCGAUUUAUUUCAUCGAUCCUAAAGCCUAUGCAGGUGACGCAUUUUCUGCCUUCAGGCAUCGAUCCCAUAGCUCUGAAUACACAAUUCUGACAAUACUUUGCACCGCAAACAAUGCAAACUUCUUUUUCUGUGAAUCUGUUCCCUUUAAAGCAGCGGUAGCAUGACCCUUUCUUUCCAUUAUUUUCAGCUUUUUGCUUCACGGGGAAACUGUCGACCUCAUCAAAAUCCGAUUCUUCAUCGCAAAUAUCAUCUGAGUCCGGAUCUCUGAAAGUGACAGGAGAUGAUAUCCUGACGUGUUGGGGCAUCUCGUUAUCAGAAUCCUCCUCCCUUUGGGACAAAUUGUUCGAGGACAGGCGGCAAGGAGUGGAAUCUGCAGAUCGCAUUUGCAUAUUCCUCUCAACCUCGCCCGAAUCAGAUGACUCAGAAACACAUGCAUCAUCACCAUCACAAUCUCUGAAACUAUCUACCUCACUUGCUGAUGUAAGGGAGGUAUCGUUUCCAUUGCCAAGCAGCGCUCGAGCGCCAGAGCCCACAGUGCCAACCAAAGGCUCAAUUGAAUGAGCUGAAAAGAAUACCUCUUUGGUUAUUCUCAACUCCUCGAACAAUAUCUGGUCGAAGUCGGUUGUCCUAAUCGGCUGAAUGAUUGGCAAUGACCUGUCCAGCGACAUCGCCGGAAAAACAGCAGCCAUCGGAAUUUCGUCAAUGUUGAUGGGUAGCGCUCGAGGAAUAUCACAAGAGACAAGAGGGCCUUUGUGCUGCAAAACGGUGGAGUGCUCAAGGCUACAAUCUCCAUCAGGGACUGUACUAACAACAGGCAAGAACUUUCUUAGAAAGUGGAGUCAUAUCGCGACGGAACAAUUACAAUGGUCCUUAAAGAAAGAAAUCGCCAAACCAAUUAGCGCAAAAUAACAACACUCAAACUGUAUGAAGCCCCAAGAAAAUGUUGAUCAAUGGUAUCGAAGGGCAUUAACUCGCUAACCCGAGAAGGAAAUUGCCAACUAUUUCAACGUUCCCAUUAACCAAACAAUAGAACCUCACAACCCACGAAUGGAAAAUCGUCACUCAAACCAAACUAACAAAAGAAAAAGAAGAAGAAGAAGAAGAAGAAGAAGAAGAAAAGUUUCAGAACAGCGUGCUGCUGAGCCAAAACUGAAGCAGAGGAGACGAAGCGAGGACGGGAAACCAAUAAUGUUCUUCACCGCUAGAAAGCCCGUGGUUUCGCACACAUCAAAACUGGUUCGAGACUCAGUGGGGCAUGAAACUCUUGAGGGCAUGGGGAUUCAAGAACGAUUAUAAAAUUCGAGCAUGUUAGAACCAAGAAACGAAGUGGGUAGAAAUUAAACGAUGCCAGGGGUCAAAAUCUUACAAGUAAACGCCACAGAAGAGUGGAGAGGAGACUGAGGAGGAGGAGGAUAAGAAGAAGAAGGGCCAUUUCUUAUUCCUUUUUUCUUCUUCUUCUCUUUCCCCCCCUUCCGAAUCACCGUGUUGACUGGAGAACGCUUGGAAUUUCGACGGCUCGCUUUUCCUGCCGAGCCGUUCCGGUGCGGCAUCUCCACCACAGCUCCUCCGUCCCUGACGCACGUCAUCGAGAUGAAAAGGCAAGUCUUUCAGAGAGAAUCGACGCUACCGGCCGGACUCGCAAAGACGACCGACAAGGACCGUACCUGAACCGAUGCAAUUCGCCGAACCUGCUGGUGACGCCGAUGCAACCAUGGCAAGCUUGAGGAGAAGCCUCAGACGACGAAGGCGGGAAGGCCGGCGGUGAGCCGGGCCGAGUGUUGAGGUAAUUAUCGUCGGGGAUGAAAGUCAAGUACUUGAACACCAUCGUCGAGUGGGGAAGGGACUGGACCGUGGAUGAAGCGAGCGAGGAGGAGCUCUCGUUAGUUCCUGACUCUGGCCUUUUGAAGUACGAAGUCGACGGAGCUAUUGACUUUCCGUCGUCCUUGAAAGAAAAAGGUAGCGAACCUGCCUUUUGGAGGGAAACUUCCACCGGGACCCCCCACGCGCGUUUGAAGAUAAGAGUUGGACGUGAUAUUUGCUUCUUCUUUUUGGUUCAGUCAAAAAGUGAGAUAGAUUUUAAAAAAUAAAUAUAAAUAAAUGCAUGAAAUACUCUUAUCUCCUCAAAUAAAUAUAUGAAGUAAACUUUUUUUUUUCAAAUAAAGGUUUGAAAUGUCCUUAUUUCCUCACAUAAUAGCAUAAAGCGAACCCUGUUUAAAAUAAAAGUAUGAAAUGGUCAUGUAAAUCUCAAAAAUUAGCUUAAGAACUGUUUGGUAACCAUUCAAAUAGUGUUUGAUUUUUUGUUUCUAGGAGCAGUUUGAGAACAUAAUCGCGUUUGGUAAAAAUUUUGUUCCCAGGAACACAUUUGGAGUAGAAUCAAGAAUAAAAAAAAAAAAACUUGAUUCUUGUUCUGGGAAUAAAAAAAAAAUCAAAAAAAAGUGGAACUCUUCUUCUCUGCUCAAACGUUCUCCCCCCUCCUCUAUUGCUGUCCGUAGUCGCCCACCGCCUUCCGUCACCACCGUCCGCCGGUUGCCGGCAACCGAUCCGGCGAGCUCGCCAGGCCAAGGCAAGGUCCGACGAGGCCGAGCCUCAGCGGGGCUGGGCGAGCCUCACCGGUGGCCAGGCCGCCUCACCCAGCCCUAGCGAGGCUCGCCUAGCCCCACCAACCGACGAGGGCCAGCGACACUCCGGUGAGGUCACUAGCCACUUGAAAAAGAAGAAGAAUAGGAGAAAAAGGAAAAAAGUAAAAAAAAAAUAUUUAAAAAUUAAAAGAAAUUGAUUUAUAAUAGAAUCAAUGAGCACGGUACCAAACGCAAUUCUAUUCCAAAAUCAGAAAUUUUAGACAAUCACCAAACGGCUUAAAAUGCUUAAAAAUUAUUUCCGGAAACAGAAUAAAAAAUAAUCAUUUCCAAUCAGAAUCUGUUCUCGGGAAUAGAAUCCUCCAACUCCCCAACCAGCAACUCCUAAUCCGUCUAUCAUAGUUGUAUGUGAAUCAGUACCAACAACACUAUCAGGGUAAAGCAAGCCAUUUGUGUUGAAGACCACUCUGCCAAGAUAUUCUAGAUUAACCUGCAAAUAGAUUCCAGUUCAGUUUGUCAACUCAAUGAUACAGGCCAAUAUUCUGGUAAAGCAAGAAAAAUUGCAUAUUCUCAAAGGACACGGCAUGUAAUAGUUCCACCACGGGUAUAUACAGUUUUUUCCACUUCUUAUGCUAAAGUCAUACAUAUGAUCAGUAUAUAGGCACUGUAUGUUUUACUACCUGGUGGACAAUCCCCGAUCCAGGCGGAACAACAAGCAUAUUAUGAAAUGCAGUUGAACCCCACUUGAGAAAGCCAAAUCUCUCCUUGUUCCGAUGAAACUCAAGUUCCAUAUUAGCCUAGACAGCAUUUUCUGACCUUGCCACAUCAACCUGAACAGAGUGGUCGAUAACAAGAUCCACUGGAGCCUGCACGAUGAUUGACAUGUUCACAAAUGACAGUUCAACUACUUGCGCACACAAAGAUACGAGUAGCUGGAACGAGCGACAUGCUGACAUAUAAAGCUCACCAGUGGGUUGAUUUUAUUCGGAUCUCCCCUGAGGCUAUUCAUCGCAUCAUGCAAGCAAGCAAGAUCAACAACAGCAGGCACCCCAGUAAAAUCCUGAUACAAAUGACGACGCAUCAUCAAAUAUCAAACAUCGCAACUCUUCAAAACCCCAAUCAGCAUCAAUGACACACGAUGCGCAGCUCCAUGUACCUGCAGCAGCACUCUAGCCAGCUUAAAUGGGAUCUCAACUUGUCUAGGAGAAGUGUUUUCCCAGUCGAUGAUCUUCUCGACAUCCUUGCUCUUGACCUGGAACUCGUCGCAGUUCCGAAUGGCCAACUCUAGAAGAAUCCUAAUAGAGUACGGCAGCCUAUCUGAAGCAUAAACAACGGAGAUUGAAAUUGAACAGGUAGAUUCCGUUAGAAUCCUGACAAGAGUAUGGCACUCUGCCACUCUUAUCCGCAACAAAGGACCAUCGAACUCAAAAACUACUAAAAAAUGUGCUCUAUUGUUUCUAGAAGGAUGGCAACCUACACAAGUUGUAGGCAAUCAGGUCACAUUAUGCAUCCUUCCAUGUAAAGAAAAGACACCCUUAUGUCAUUUAAGCAGGCUUUAAUGCAGUUGCCAUAAGGAANNNNNNNNNNNNNNNNNNNNNNNNNNNNNNNNNNNNNNNNNNNNNNNNNNNNNNNNNNNNNNNNNNNNNNNNNNNNNNNNNNNNNNNNNNNNNNNNNNNNAUCAGCAAGCAUGUGGAGACUGGGAAAUAAUUGCCACAACUUAAACAAGAGAGAAACGGACUACAAGAGCGACGAGCUGUUUAGUGAUGCAAAAGCAGACGAUCUUAAGUCAAAAACACUAACCCUUUCCAGUACAUCAAAAGCUUUCUUCCUUAGCACAGCAUCUGAUGUGCACAUGAUGACGUUCGCGAUGGCGCCCAUCCCCAGCUCCUCCAUCGCCUUGAACGCGGCUUGGAACCGAGGCUCUAUCUCCUCCACGAACUCGUCCGUGAACCCGAUUCGGCUCACGUCCAAGGAAAAGCCCUCGCUCCGGUGCUGGUGUAGCCAGUCCACGUACCUCGUCCACAGCGAGCGAGAAUCCUUCUCCAGCCCUCUAGCCCGCGCCUCUCCUUCUUCGCCGCGCCGUCGACCCUGCCCAGGUCUACCGAGAUCUCCCUCGCGACCGAUCGGGCCAGCGAAAGGGACAGCACCCGGUCGACGGCGGGGAGCCUGGCGCCGCUCGGGAACGAAACCGAGGCCGCCUCCCUCCUGCCGGAGGCCGACGGCUUCGCGGCGGAGGCCGGCGGCGUCUUCGGCCUGAGGGAGGGGGAGGACGAGCAGAUGCCAGAGACGGAGGACGCCGUCGGCGGCGGCAGCGGCGGCUCGGAGUCGGAGUUGAUGACGAGUUUUUCGGAGGGAGGAAAUCGGACGGAGGUCCAGAAGUUGCCGAGAGACCAACGCGAACACAAAACUUAUGCUCGAUCUCCGCGUUGGAAACAGUCGGAGGCGAAGGGGGUCAGGAACCAGCUGCGACUGGCGGGGCUCUUGGAGGAGGCGACGUGCCAGAGGUAGAUGACCGACGGCGAGGCUUUUUUGAGAGGCGGAGGCGGAGGCGGAGGGGGUGAGGGUGGGAUGCGCUGAGAAGAAACAGAGGAAGUGCAGCUCGUCACGAGAAGAGAGAAAGCGCCCAGAAAAUAUUCAAGUGUGAGGAGAGAGAAAUUUUAAGCGGGAGCUUUUGCGCAUUUAUUACUCGCUGGCCGUCCUUUCUUCUGCCAGCCGAGCCGAGCCAAGCCACCAGCCACCAGCCGUGAGUUAUUUGGGAGAGAGUGAGAAGAGAGAGGAGCGUUGCCUUUUUUAUUGAAUUAGCAUUCCAAUGAGUCACGUAGACGGAAAAAAAAGUAAUAAAAAUUUGCCACAUAAGAUUUCCGGUGGGAUUCGCCAAAGAUGGUACUUUAGUAUCCCACUUAAAAAAAAAAAGUGGCAUUUAAAUGUCAUUUUCCUAACUUUUAGCAUUUAAGUGUCCUUUCAUGUCAAGUUUUGACAUUUGUGCUGUACUUCUCCCAACGAAGAAGAUAUGGUAAUCCCUCGAUUCUUUCAAGUGACACAAAGCCUACUCUUUCACCUAUUACAGUGUGAGGCUUCAAAGGCAGAUUGUGAAUCUGCAACCAUAUUUAAGUACCCUGUUUCUAUAAUCAAUGUGGAGAACGAUAGGGCCAAAAUAGUUCUUUAAUUUAUUCAUCCACAGAACAGUUUCCUAUAAGAGUCGCAUCUCAUUCUACAUUUACGUGAGUACAUCUUCUGAAUGCAUCAUGAGAAGGAAUAAAAUAUCGAAGCUAUUUCACUUCAUAUGAUUUACCUAUGUGCCAGUAUAUAUUGACUGAAUUUUAUGGAGCCAUGCCUUCUAAAUAAGGCAUAACCAGAUUGUCGCUGAUUGCGAGAGUGAAAAACUACAAAGAGACAACACUAAGAGGUGCUUGCCUCCGAACUUGCAGAAAAUUCCUCAUAGCUGAAAGUAGUAUCUUCCCAAUUCAAAAUCUCCCUUGCAUACCUAAGAGAUCUAUCUAUACCGUCCUGCUGAGGUUCCGUAACUAGGGAAACAUACAGCUUGCGUCCAGUAAGUGAUUGGAAAAGCCGUUUAAACUUCACUGCCAUGUAGUGGAAAGCACAUUGUGCCAAUGAAGGAGCUGGAUUAACAUAAGUCCCAAUAUUGUGGUCAUGGCUGAUCACUGGAUGGAAAUCACAAAACCAUUCACACUGAGUUAAAGGAGACUGUUCAAUCUUUUCUUCGAGCAGAUCGAACUUGUUCAUAAUCAGAAGGAAGUCCUUUUCAUAUGAGGUCGGAUGAGUGACGACACUUUUAAAAAGCUCUUUGCUUGCCAUCAUCUUGUUUAUCAGUAAUCCUUUCUCGUCCUCAUAGAACUCGUCAUAGUCCGUCAAUGAGACACAGAACAAGACGAUAUUAACAUCUUCAAACAUCUCCAACCACUUGCAGUUUUCCCCUAGCCUUCUUGAAUUCACCCAGAUAAGAUGGUACCUGCAGAUUCAAGCAAACUAUGUCAAAUAGAGUAGUUUACCAAAAUUCUGCAAACUCUGGCCAGUACGAUCCUGCCAAGUCAAGUAAAUUGCUUGCUUAAUUUGCAAAACAUCAUAUAUCAACCUGGUUGACCAUACUUCGAUAAUUCGAUGAACUUACAAGUAGUAGGUGAUGGUGAUUUUCUAUCAAGUGCAUUUUGGUGCGACAUUUGUCCGAGGAGCAACCAUGAAGAAACAAGUAGGUCCAGAACACAAAAAUGCCACUUAAAUCUACCAAAUUGUCUGAUAACUGUUCUUUCAGGAAUAUUAAGAGAGCACGGAAUUAUUCUUUUAGCUACUUAAAGUUUUGGUUAUCGUCUCAGAUAGUGAACUAGUUAAAUUGCAGGCUCAUUUACUAGCUUAUCAUCGAUUGCUAUACAGGCUAGUCCUAGCGCUUCAUCAAUUAAAUUUGGGAUGAAAAUAGCUGAUUUACCAAAUAACUCAACCACAUUCAAGUCUGUGGUUGACAUAAACAACAAGCAAUCUGCAGUGAGAAGAUUGUACCUCAUCAUGCUGUAGUGCUGAUCAAUAGAGUCUGUGUAUCCAUCUGAUUUUGCUGACAUGGGAAAUGAAAAUUCCAUGCUCGCAAGACCGUUAGAAGAGGCAAUUCCCUCUGUGUACAGAAUAUCCAUAUCAGAGGGCUCAUACUCUUCUUUUGAAAUCUCAACAGCCUGAUAAGAAAGAGAGUCUAAGUUGACCAGACCGAGCAGUCAAAUUUGUGACUAUAUUAGCACAGAAUACAAAGCUGGAAUCAAAUAUGUCUAGGCCAUUGAGAAAGUGCCAUCUUGUAAUAGUUAUCCCAAAAAAAAAAACAUCUUUUGCAACGUAGGUGAAAUCGUGAUUUAUUAUCGACUCUAGAGUGAAGUGUACAAAAAAUGGUGAACCCACAAAUUAAGAAAGUACAAGGACAAGAAAAGGAUCUGAUUUAAGGCUAGAACUGCAAAUUAAUCAGAACAGAGAUCAAGAUGUGCGACCUCACCCGCUCCAGAAAAUAUGUAGCCACUCUAGGGAGCUUUUCUAACUCAUUCCUUCGGUUGUAUGUGGCUUGAAUGGCUUCAUCCUUCCACAGUUCCUCAAUAAGAGGUGAGUAUUCACGACUGGCAGGAAGAACGAUCACUUCUAGAUUACCAGAUGCUAUUACCUUGAGGAGCCAGUCCGAGAAUCCUUUCAGCCUUGAGCCUAUGGAAUAGGUCAACUUAGUUUCCUCUGGAUACAUUGUCUCUGUCAAUUGAGUAGUAAUAAGUCCGGCAGAUCCAGACAAAGAAAUACAUAUGAAAACUAGUAGAUUAAUUUCUGCUAUGACAUUUUGGAGCGUGUGACUUUCCAAAUGCCUCACAUCCCAUCGCUCAGUGCUCUAAAAGAAGCCAGAGGAACUGUUCGAACUCCAGAGGAAGUAAUGCAGUUAAGAGAGAGGUUCAAAAGAUGCGGACUUUCCUUAUGUUAUACCUGAAGAGUGGCAUCCAUCAAUCAUCAGUCCUUUUCCCUUCUCCCUCGAGCUUCCUCUUUCAAACCGUUUGUGCCCUACAAGCAAUACGCCAAGAUCUGACUAUGACUAUUACCAUCAUUGCAAAGGAAUAUAUGAAGAGGCGAAGGCAGCUUUCUUCACAACAUACCCAAAGAACUGGGUUGGUCAAUUAACAGGCUUUUCCCCUUCCCCUUCAGAGUUUCCUUUUGAAAUCUCUCACGUCCUUUGAGCAAUGUGCCCAUAUAGUAGUAUAGAUUGCUCUGGAUCAUUAACUUAAUUUUUUGACGUUCAUCUUCAGAAAAGGGGACGCCAUACAGAAUCUUGGCCUGAAAUCAGUGCAUAAUUGACUAAAAGUCACAUAGACAGCAUUAUAUCCCUAAACUUAACACUGCUUCACUUGACAUCAAAAUUAACAAAGCUGUUGGGUAUACCUAGAAAGCACAUAAUGGAACAUGAAUCACUGCUUGUCUAAGAUUAGUCAAAGCUUAGAACUGUUCUAACUAAUCUAACCUGCUUGAAUAUAGUGCCUGUGCCAGAUUUAUCAAAGCCGACCAGAAGCAGUUUGUGAUGAAAAUCAUUCUGGCCAAUGCUGUCUCUGGUUGUUUCCUCACCAGAUUUUGCAUUAUCCGGAGGAAUUGGCAAAGACAAGAUUGAAAGGACUAGCCUUGUCUUAGUAUGUAGAUGAAAACACCAAGCAUCACCAGAAGUUCAAUAAAUAAAAGAGGAUAAAAACUCACUAUAACAAAAAGUCCACAUCAUCACCAAAAUUUACCUUCUCCCAUAUGCGAACUUUUCCGAAUAGAAUCCAUCUGCGCCUCUUCCGCCACUCUUCCGAAUAGGAUCCAUCUGCACUCGCCCAAAAAUGAGGUUUUCCUUCACAUGGAAUUCCAGCUGACUGCAAAAAUUCAAGGACAAACAUUCAGUUGAUUAUCAUAGGAUGAAUUGCAUGACAAGCAGAGUGAAAUAAUGCCUAGAGAAUCACCUUGAGCAUCCAAACCUCUUCUUUCGUAAUUUCCCGGUUAUUAAUUAUUAUGCCUGUGUUUCCGUUGCUAGCAUUUGGUUUAAUGUAACCCCCAACAUCUAACUGGGCACUGAUUAUUUGCCAUCGUUUCUGCCCCUCCUGCCAAAUUGACCAAGAUUCAACAUCAUCAACUUUUUUCAUAGCGUGACAAAAGAUGACAUGCAAUGAUAAGUUAUAAGAGACGGAAGAAUCAAAACAAGCUUCUUAAGUAAGCUAAAUUUCAAACUCACCUUUCCCCAAAACCCAGCCACUUUAUCAUACCAGUAGUGUCCCGGCCUUAGCUUUUUCGGAGGAUUUGGGCAGCCCCGCAGCAGAAGCAACUCUUUACGAUCAAGACGCUUAUUAUUCACAUAAAGAAGGUUUGGGGGGAUUUCAUUUGCUGGGCACAAUACCUCAGAACUCAUUAUUUGCUUAAUUUCUGAUUCUGGCAAGAGCCACUUCAGCAUUCUAGAACAUUUCCCCAGGUUACUUCGAUUUAUUUCAUCGAUCCUAAAGCCUAUGCAGGUGACGCAUUUUCUGCCUUCAGGCAUCGAUCCCAUAGCUCUGAAUACACAAUUCUGACAAUACUUUGCACCGCAAACAAGGCAAACUUCUUUUUCUGUGAAUCUGUUCCCUUUAAAGCAGCGGUAGCAUGACCCUUUCUUUCCAUUAUUUUCAGCUUUCUGCUUCACGGGGAAACUGUUGACCUCAUCAAAAUCCGAUUCUUCAUCACAAAUAUCAUCUGAGUCCGGAUCUCUGAAAGUGACAGGAGAUGGUAUCCUGACGUGUUGGGGCAUCUCGUUAUCAGAAUCCUCCUCCCUUUGGGACAAAAUGUUCGAGGACGGGCGGCAAGGAGUGGAAUCUGCAGAUCGCAUUUGUAUAUUCCUCUCAACCUCGCCCGAAUCAGAUGACUCAGAAACACAUGCAUCCUCACGAUCACAAUCUCUGAAACUAUCUACCUCACUUGCUGAUGUAAGGGAGGCAUCGUUUCCAUUGCCAAGCAGCGCUCGAGCGCCAGAGCCCACAGUGCCAACCAAAGGCUCAAUUGAAUGAGCUGAAAAGAAUACCUCUUUGGUUAUUCUCAACUCCUCGAACAAUAUCUGGUUGAAGUCGGUUGUCCUAAUCGGCUGAAUGAUUGGCAAUGACCUGUCCAGCGACAUCGCCGGAAAAACAGCAGCCAUCGGAAUUUCGUCGAUGUUGAUGGGUAGCGCUCGAGGAAUAUCACAAGAGACAAGAGGGCCUUUGUGCUGCAAAACGGUGGAGUGCUCAAGGCUACAAUCUCCAUCAGGGACUGUACUAACAACAGGCAAGAACUUUCUUAGAAGUGGAGUCAUAUCGCGACGGAACAAUUACAAUGGUCCUUAAAGAAAGAAACCGCCAAACCAAUUAGCGCAAAAUAACAACACUCAAACUGUAUGAAGCCCCAAGAAAAUGCUGAUCAAUGGUAUCGAAGGGCAUUAACUCGCUAACCCGAGAAGGAAAUUGCCAACUAUUUCAACAUUCCCAUUAACCAAACAAUAGAACCUCACAACCCACGAAUGGAAAAUCGUCACUCAAACCAAACUAACAAAAGAAAAAGAAGAAGAAGAAGAAGAAGAAGAAAAGUUUCAGAACAGCGUGCUGCUGAGCCAAAACUGAAGCAGAGGAGACGAAGCGAGGACGGGAAACCAAUAAUGUUCUUCACCGCUAGAAAGCCCGUGGUUUCGCACACAUCAAAACUGGUUCGAGACUCAGUGGGGCAUGAAACUCUUGAGGGCAUGGGGAUUCAAGAACGAUUAUAAAAUUCGAGCAUGUUAGAACCAAGAAACGAAGUGGGUAGAAAUUAAACGAUGCCAGGGGUCAAAAUCUUACAAGUAAACGCCACAGAAGACUGGAGAGGAGACUGAGGAGGAGGAGAAUAAGAAGAAGAAGGGCCAUUUCUUAUUCCUUUUUUCUUUUUCUUCUCUUUCCCCUCCUUCCGAAUCACCGUGUUGACUGGAGAACGCUUGGAAUUUCGACGGCUCGCUUUUCCUGCCGAGCCGUUCCGGUGUGGCAUCUCCACCACAGCUCCUCCGUCCCUGACGCACGACAUCGAGAUGAAAAGGCAAGUCUUUCAGAGAGAAUCGACGAUACCGGCCGGACUUGCAAAGACGACCGACAAGGACCGUACCUGAACCAAUGCAAUUCGCAGAACCUGCUGCUGACGCCGGUGCAACCAUGGCAAGCUUGAGGAGAAGCCUCAGACGACGAAGGCGGGAAGGCCGGCGGUGAGCCGGGCCGAGUGUUGAGGUAAUUAUCGUCGGGGAUGAAAGUCAAGUACUUGAACACCAUCGUCGAGUGGGGAAGGGACUGGACCGUGGAUGAAGCGAGCGAGGAGGAGCUCUCGUUAGUUCCUGACUGUGGCCUUUUGAAGUACGAAGUCGACGGAGCCGUUGACUCUCCGUCGUCCUUGAAAGAAAAAGGUGGCGAAGCCUGCCUUUUGGAGGGAAACUUCCACCCGGGACCCCCCACGCGCGUUUGAAGAUAAGAGUUGGACGUGAUAUUUGCUUCUUUUUUUUCUUUUCUUUUUUUGGUUUAGUCAAAAAGUGAGAUAGAUUCAAAAUAUAUAUAUAUAAAUAAAUGCAUGAAAUACUCUUAUCUCCUCAAAUAAAUAUAUGAAGUAAACUUUUUUUUUCAAAUAAAGAUUUGAAUUGCCUUUAUUUUCUCAAAUAAUAACAUAAAGCAAAUCUUGUUUAAAAUAAAAGUAUGAAAUAGUCAUGUCAGUUUCAAAUAUUAGCCUAACCCAUCAGCUAAUGAGAACAUUUUUGUCCUUUGUGUUUUUUAAUUUCCUUUUUUUUCUUUUUUUGUAUUAGAUAAAGUAUAAAUUUUAAAAAAAUGGAAGGGAUGGAAAAUGGCAAGGGCUUUAUAGGCCCUUGCCGCCGCCACCGCCUCGCCAUCGCAGGGAAGCAUUGAGGAUGGUGGGGAAUGGUCGACCAAGGGUCAGCGUGGUUCGCCAAGCCCCGACCAGCACGGCCCGACCAGCGCAGGGAAGCACCUACAAGCCCUCACUCGGGCGAGGGUCGUUGGCCCUUGCCUAAAUCUAGGAGAGGGCCAGUGACUAUUGCUAGCCGCCACCCACCAAUGCUAGCCCUUCCCAGCAACGGUGGGGUGAUGACAAUGGCAAUGGCAAGGGCUUAGGGCUAAUUUCCUUGUUUUUUUAAAUAAAAAAUUUAAUUUAUUUUUAAUAUAAUUUAAACAACAUUUAAAAAUUAAAUUGGAUAAAAAUGCCCUUGGCUGGCUUAAAUAUAGAGCUAGUGAGGGAAGUUCUUAGUUGAAACUUUUAUGGCUACUUCAAGGCCUUAUUUGAAAUUGUCAUGAUUAUUUCAAAUCUUUAUUAGAAAUAAGGUCUGCUUAAUAUCCUUAUUUGAUAAAAUUAGACUACUUCAUGUCCUUAUUUGGAAUUUUUCAAAAAAAAGAGGAAAAGGAGGUGUUGUAUAAGGAGGGGAGCUGCACGAAAGAGAGAAGGGAAAAGAAAGAAGAAGACGUGGGAAAAGGUAAAAGAAGGAACGGGAAGAAAAAAAGAGAAAGAAUAGUUCGCGUUCACAUGGUAAGUGGUUCUUUCAAUCAUAGAAGUUUUCGAAAUUAGGGCUUAAAUUCGAAGUUUAGUGAGAUUUGAGUUGCAAAGUUCGACUUUUUAGUUGUUGAGUUAUGGGAUUUUAUAGAAAUGGUGGAUUAUGGCAUUGUGAAACUGUUAGUUUGACUGAAAUAAGUUUGAGGCAGCCAUUAGUCGUAGUAAAAUUUUAGGAUUUCUCAGGUGAGUUUGACGUUGCAGAUGGCUUGAAUAAUCACUUUGGCUGAGCGAUUUAUUGACACGCAGGUGUUGUUUUAUUAAUGUGGAUAACCUUUGCAACAUGUAUGAAGGUUGGACACCGUGGAUUUGAGUUUGUGACAAGAGCGAUUCGGAUAGGAAUUGGGAGCUGCAUUCUCAGAAUAUCCCAUGGUGCAAUGUGCAGCACGCUGCAUUUGCAUGCAAAUUUCAACUCCUGAGACCAAAGAUGCCAAAAUGGAUUCGAACAACAAUUGGGAAUGAGCAAAUCGUGCUGGUCAACCUCGUCUCAAAUCUCGCUGUGUCUGGUGAGUCAGUUGAAGGACGUUGAUUGCCAGGUGACUUUGGCACUUUGGUUUGGGCUCCGGCUUGGAGUAUAAUUUCUGCUCAUCCCUGCUAGAGACAAAUAGCUCCAAAAUACUUGGACUCCCAUGGAGAGACCACGUGAUGGGAGUGCUUUACGCCUCUCCUCACUCCCUGGGAACUGGUGGUCUCUCGGAGUCUCAAGGCAGGAAGUUCUCGUCUGGCUUUUCUUCUUUUGAUGAUGAUGGCAUUGCAAUGUCUUGAAGAAGAGCCAUUUAAUUUCCUGGCUCCAUCAGGUUGGAUAUCGUUUCGUAGCCGGAGGAGCCUUCCGAGUUCUUGAUGGGUUUAUAGAAUUGGAAAGACGGACUGCUUUGGAUGCUCACACCUCAGGUUGCGAAGGCUAAUCCGUUGGCUGGAGAAUGUUGUCCAGGGCAUGUAACUGGGAAAGCAGCCUAAAGAAGGAUAACUGUUUCCAGGAAAAGUUCGUUGUAUCACACCGGAACGGUUGUGGCCCGGUAGGAGAUUUCUGGGGUUUAGGCUGGUCCAUACGUUCCCUCCGACUUUAGGACAAUCUAGUUCAGUGAAAAUGGGCGAUAGCUGCAUUGUUCUUCUUCAAGUCAUUUUGCAUUCUCAGUGAUGACGUGUCUGCAGGCGGAGUUAUGAGCAGCUGGAGUGCCUUGCGUAUUUUGUAGUCGAACUACGUUCUUUCCAAAUUGCCGCCUUAUUGGAUGAACUUGUUCCCGCAUGUUGAAU